CGAUCGAGCAGCUACGAUAGUGCGGGCGCUGGGUCUGGCUGCUGGCUCGGCGCACUACGCGCCCAGCAAUGUUGUGGGUCUAGCUUUGGGCUUUGUGGCUGCGCUUGCCAUCGUGGCCAUCGCCGUGUUUGGCUGCGCCGGCCACAAGAAGCGUCCCGCGGAUAAGAAGCGCAGACGUCGUCGCGGAGGCGGAGGCGACGGCGGCGGAGGAGGGGAUGACGGCGGCGGAUAUGGGGACGGUGGGGGCGGAGGUGACGGUGGUGGUGGUGGCGGCGGUGGAGGUGACGGCGGGGGCGGAGGAGGCUGCUAAGGAAAGUCGUCGUUCUUGAGGCAGAGAUAGAAACACAAUUGCAUUGUCCACCUUGAUAUAUACUAUUACUCCCUCUGUCUUAUUCUUAAAGACGGUUUUUUGACAGUAUCAUAAUGUCAAAAAAGGGUCUUACCUUUUGAGACAGAGGGAUUACUUUUGUGUUGAAUUUUCAUGGUACUUGACUGGUCAGAUUAUUUUGUAAUUUCGGCCAUACCUAUGUAAGUGUGUUCUUGCAAUCUUUUGGCAGCAUUGGUUGAAUGCCGGCCUUAUUUUUCAUGUUCUUCCUACAUUGUUAUGUUUUUUA
rnacentral:rRNA from 1 species